AUUUUUUUGAGAUGGAGUUCAGCCUGGGCGACAGAGCGAGACGGAAUGAAAGAAUGUAUCUACUGAGGACAUGUUUUUAAAAAUUAUGCAGAUUUUAAAAUGUUUCUUGUCAAACUGGAUGUAGCAUGAGGGAGAUGUUAGUAUGGACUAUUUUCCCAUCCAUCAGAUAAUCUCUCUGUGGUGGGUUGAGAGUGAAUCUGCAGAGAGAGAAAGCAUACAUUAGGUAGGGUGCAAGCUGACCUAAGCACAGCUCGCAGGAAGGACACUGACUUGUCCUAAGGGAGGUCCAUUCUUUAGCCUGGUGCUGAUGUGAGGCGUAACCGGACUUUCUC